rnacentral:rRNA from 1 species
GACGAACGCUGGCGGCGUGCUUAACACAUGCAAGUCGAACGGAAAGGCCCUGCUUUUGUGGGUUGCUCGAGUGGCGAACGGGUGAGUAACACGUUAGUAACCUGCCCUUGACUUUGGGAUAACUUCAGGAAACUGGGGCUAAUACCGGAUAGGAGCUCCUGCUGCCUGGUGGGGGUUGGAAAGUUUCGGCGGUUGGGGAUGGACUCGCGGCUUAUCAGCUUGUUGGUGGGGUAGUGGCUUACCAAGGCUUUGACGGGUAGCCGGCCUGAGAGGGGAACCGGCAACAUUGGGAAAGAGAUACGGGCCAGAGUACUGAGGGAGGCAGCAGUGGGGAAUAGUGCACGAUGGGCGGAAGCCGGAUGCAGCAACGCGGCGUGAGGGAUGACGGACUUCGGGUUGUAGACCGCUUUCGCCUGUGACGAAGCGUGAGUGAAGGUAAUGGGUAAAGAAGCACCGGCUAACUACGUG